UACGUAGGUGGCAAGCGUUGUCCGGAUUUACUGGGCGUAAAGAGCGCGCAGGCGGUCGUUCAAGUCGCGUGUGAAAGCCCCCGGCUCAACUGGGGAGGGUCACGCGAUACUGAUCGACUCGAAGGCAGGAGAGGGUAGUGGAAUUCCCGGUGUAGUGGUGAAAUGCGUAGAGAUCGGGAAGAACAUCGGUGGCGAAGGCGGCCUGCUGGGCUCUUGCUGACACUGAGGCGCGACAGCGUGGGGAGCAAACAGG
rnacentral:rRNA from 1 species